GUUGACAAACACAGCGCAAAUACCACAGCAAGGGCGGCUUGAAGUCAAGAAUUACGUGUGGUUAGCUCUCUGUUAAUCGUCUUCGCGUUUCCCCUGCAAAAGCCAUGACAUGCGAUCUUCAGUGGCCGCUCAGGGAAGCGGCGCGAGGCGCUUUGAGCUGAAAAUUGCACCGAAAACCACGGAGCCCAGUGAAGGACCUGCAGAAACCGAAGCUGAGCAAGGAGCCGGUGUGCAGAGACGAGGGCUCAGGCCUAUGUAAAUACAGCAAAAGCGGUGCUCUGUUAGCGCAACAGCAAACCUCAGCUGUGUACCCCGACACAGAUGCUGACCCACUGGAAAAGAUGAGUCAGACCUAUUGAAGUAACAAGGAAAACAGAAAAUAGGGCAAAGUCACUACUCUUGAAGGAGCGGUGUCAAUUAAGGCACAAAGUUCUAUCCACAAAAAUAUUUGUGCACACAGAGACUUGCAAGGGAAAGCAAUUUAGAAAGUGAACUAUUCUCUACAGCAAAGGAAAUUUUUUGACAGUGAUCAAAGCAAGGUUCCUGAUAUACUAAAAAAGGACAUCUCAAAUGCACCUACUUUUAGCACGCACUUCUUCCUGUAAGAGAUCAAGCUUUAGAAGACUGAAGUGCUCUCCAAAAAAUAAUUUGGAACCCAACCGACAGGUCAGAAUUUUGCUGAAGAGAAAAGUAACCGCUCAAGACUUUCAGAAAAGGAACGAAGAAGUGACAGUUGGUAAUGAAGUCGCUUCGUUCCACAGAAUGAAGCGGUUCCUCCGGCCGAAAAGCAAAAAAGCCAGAAAAAAGUGCCUGGCCUUAGGACUCCAUGAUUUCAAACUAUAGGUUAGACAUGCACAAAAUAACUACCUUAGAAUUAAGCACUGUAAGCAAAAACAAACAAAAAAAAUUCUCCAGUUCUGUUGCAGAGCCUACAUUGUGCCCAAGGUAGUUAAAGUCUUGAAAGGAAAGUCAUACGAGUAUCAAGAGCCUUCCAUCAAAACAGCCAAUAAAGUCUCUUGAAGAGAUCCAAUAAACACCCAAUAAAAGUGCAAACCUUAAGACGACAAAUCUUUGCAUUUCUACACCAUUUUAAAUGAAAUAGUGAAAUUAGGAUUCAAAUCAUGAAACAAGUUAGCAGAAAGUAAAGAUUUUAAACAGAAAUUAACAUAAAACACACCAUUAUUUUUCAAAAUGAAAGCUUGGGCAAUACAUGUACUAUUGAACUUCAAGUUAUUCCUUUAAUAUUUAGAAAACUGGUUUUAUUCUUAGUUUUUCAGAGAAUGAUUUUAAGUAUUAGCACCUACAUUGGAAAUAACUCAAAUUUAAUUUUACACUUGCAAAAAAGCCUCAAUAAUCAAUGAAGCUAUCCUAUAUUCAUCCAUUUUUUAAUAUUCCAGUAGAGCACCAAGAAGGAAAACAAAGCAACAUUUCAGUAAUAAACAAGCUCUGUCCUCACCACAUACCAGGACCAGAUACCUCCCUGGGAUAGAAUUCAGAAAGUCAGAGUUUUUCAGCGUAUUCAAUCACCUCAUUUUCAGUUAUUUAAGGUGGAAAUUGAUGCGUUUAUAAAACUCGUGAAGUGAAGGGCUAGUUUAUUAAACCAGAGCUGACCUAAGAUGCAAUUAGAAUUUGACAUUUUUCCAUACUUAGUUCACAAGUUUAUUAUGAAAAACACUGCAGCUCUCCUGCAGUAACAUUGUUUUACAGAAAAAAAACAGUUCUGUUCAAAGUAAUUCACUAUGCUUGGACAAUACAAAGGACAAUAUGGUAGGGCAGAGAGUGGGAAAGGGAACUGAGUGCAGACAAAGAAAAAAAAAA